rnacentral:sRNA from 1 species
UCCAGCCAGGACCCCUACAACGUUACAGCCGGCCUUGUCCAGUUCUUUUAUCCUCUUCUCUCUAGGGGCCGCAAUUCUGAUUCUGAAGAAAGAAUGCAGCGCGAGAAGGAUAGUCUGCUGUGUCGUGGCGAUCGUUGCCGUGCUAAUCGGAAUCGAGCCGAAACUGUGGUCACUGGGAGGUAAUAGUGACCAAUUGUUUGCCUCCCAGUACCUGGUAGAGAGGAUUCUGUGGCCGGCCAUCUACAGCUCCAGUUAUCUGCCGAUGGCAAUCUAUUGUGCGGCAGCCGAGUCGGAGUUGAAGAAAAAUGUGGUCCAUCCGUUUUCUCUGUCCACCUCGGGGCUAUUGUCCAGCUGUGUGUUUACUGUGUUAUUAUCGGGGACAAACUUCCUGCCCUGGU